UCACUGGUUCAGGAUGCAGAGACACGCUUUGAGGAUCAGAUCAGUAAACUGGUGUUGGAGAAACAGGAGCUGGAGUGGGAGAAGGAGUCCCUACAGCGUCAAAUUGAAACAGUCACCAAUCAGCACACAGAGUCACUCAACAAUGUGAAGAAACAGUUUCAGGCCAAAAUCAGAAACAUCGAGGAGGAGAAGGGGAAACACCAGAUCAGUGUUGAGUUAAAGGACAAGGAGAUUAACAACUUAAAAGAAGAGCUGAGGGC